CGGUCCUGGCCCAGGAAGCGGGCGCGGAUCUGCCCCAUCUGACGGCGAUGCAGGAACUGAUGGUUCAUGUCCAUCAGGUUCUC
rnacentral:tRNA from 1 species